AGGACGAACGCUGGCGGCGUGCUUAACACAUGCAAGUCGAACGGAAAGGCCCGCUUGCGGGUACUCGAGUGGCGAACGGGUGAGUAACACGUGGGCAACCUGCCCUCAGCUUCGGGAUAACACUUGGAAACAGGUGCUAAUACCGGAUAAUAACCUUUCAUCGCAUGGUGUGGGGUUCAAAGUUUUUCGGCUGGGGAUGGGCCCGCGGCCUAUCAGCUUGUUGGUGGGGUAAUGGCCUACCAAGGCGACGACGGGUAGCCGGCCUGAGAGGGCGACCGGCCACACUGGGACUGAGACACGGCCCAGACUCCUACGGGAGGCAGCAGUGGGGAAUAUUGCGCAAUGGGCGGAAGCCUGACGCAGCGACGCCGCGUGAGGGAUGACGGCCUUCGGGUUGUAAACCUCUUUCAGCUCUGACGAAGCGCAAGUGACGGUAGGAGCAGAAGAAGCACCGGCCAACUACGCGCCAGCAGCCGCGGUAA
rnacentral:rRNA from 1 species